rnacentral:pre_miRNA from 1 species
CUCGGGGAGAGGGGGCACCCUCAGCCUGGAUUCCAAGAGGGAGCAGGCCAGGCUGAGGGACCCCAUUGGUGCACG